GGGGUCGUAGCUCAGUCGGUUAGAGUGUCGGCCUGUCACGCCGAAGGUCGCGAGUUCGAGUCUCGUCGGCCCCGCCA
rnacentral:tRNA from 3 species